rnacentral:rRNA from 1 species
AUUGAACGCUGGCGGCAGGCCUAACACAUGCAAGUCGAGCGGAGCGGCGGACGGGUGAGUAAUGCCUAGGAAUCUGCCUGGUAGUGGGGGAGAACGUCCGGCAACGGGCGCUAAUACCGCAUCCUAUCAGUUGAGCCUAGGUCGGAUUAGCUAGUUGGUGGGGUAAAGGCCCACCAAGGCGACGAUCCGUAACUGGUCUGGGCGGAUGAUCAGUAGCACUGGAACUGAGACACGGUCCAGAGUCCUACGGUAGGCAGCAGUGGGGAAUAUUGGACAAUGGGCGAAAGCCUGAUCCAGCCAUGCCGCGUGUGUGAAGAGGGUCUUCGGAUUGUAGAGCACUUUAAGUUGGGAGGCGUGACCAACAGAAUAAGCACCGGCUAACUUCGUGCAAGCCGCCGCGGUAAUUC